rnacentral:rRNA from 1 species
UACGGAGGGUGCGAGCGUUGUCCGGAAUCACUGGGCGUAAAGAGCGCGUAGGCGGCUCAUGAAGGCUGUGGUGAAAGUCCGGGGCUCAACCUCGGAUCGGCCGUGGCGACUCGUGGGCUGGAGCACUGUAGAGGCGGGUGGAAUUCCGGGUGUAGCGGUGGAAUGCGUAGAGAUCCGGAAGAACACCAGUGGCGAAGGCGGCCCGCUGGGCAGUGGCUGACGCUGAAGCGCGACAGCGUGGGGGAGCAAACAGG